rnacentral:rRNA from 1 species
GACGAACGCUGGCGGCGUGCUUAACACAUGCAAGUCGAGCGGUAAGGCCCUUUCGGGGGUACACGAGCGGCGAACGGGUGAGUAACACGUGGGUGACCUGCCCUUAGCUCUGGGAUAAGCCUGGGAAACCGGGUCUAAUACCGGAUAUGACUCCAUGACGCAUGUUGUGGGGUGGAAAGCCUUGUGCGGCUAGGGAUGGGCCCGCGGCCUAUCAGCUUGUUGGUGGGGUGAUGGCCACCAAGGCGACGACGGGUAGCCGGCCUGAGAGGGCGACCGGCCACACUGGGACUGAGACACGGCCCAGACUCCUACGGGAGGCAGCAGUGGGGAAUCUUGCGCAAUGGGCGAAAGCCUGACGCAGCGACGCCGCGUGGGGACGACGGCCUCGGUU